CAGUAGCCGCGGUAAUACGUAGGUGGCAAGCGUUGUCCGGAAUUAUUGGGCGUAAAGCGCGCGCAGGUGGUUUAAUAAGUCUGAUGUGAAAGCCCACGGCUCAACCGUGGAGGGUCAUUGGAAACUGUUAAACUUGAGUGCAGGAGAGAAAAGUGGAAUUCCUAGUGUAGCGGUGAAAUGCGUAGAGAUUAGGAGGAACACCAGUGGCGAAGGCGGCUUUUUGGCCUGUAACUGACACUGAGGCGCGAAAGCGUGGGGAGCAAACAGGAUUAGAUACCCGAGUAGUCCCUGUCUCUUAUAA
rnacentral:rRNA from 1 species